UUUUUUUUUUUUGGUGGGGAGGGAGCAGCAAAGUGUUAACAAAGUGGACCAUACACUUAAUAACUUUGUAAACUACAUGUAUUUGCUAAAACUCAUGGAUUCUCAUUGUAACAUGAGUCAGAGCACAAUAUUUGCAUGACACCUUGUAACUUAGUGUUUCAGCACACUGUAAUGUAAGCUUGCAGAGAAAGUUCAGUUCUGUGCUCACAGGAAAUGUUCCAUAUUCCCCAGUGUACCUUCAUGCUGUCUUAUGAAGCCUUUCUCAGCUGCUUUGGAAAAAUUUUAUCAGCAGAGCAGUCUAUCCACUCAGUAUUUCUACCAUCUGGGUCCAACAGAAACAAUAGCUACAUAUCUUUCUCAUGUUAAAUAUAAAAAUGCAUAAUGUCUAGAGUAUCAUCUGUAUUUAACAUUGUUUCUGUUAUAAAUGGUACUCAUGAGCCAUCAACAUAGCUACAUUAGAUUUCUCCUAAUGGAAUGAUAGUUUUGCUCACUAUAAUAUAAAUGCCAAUAUUAAGAAAAUACAACUGUUUCUCAGUGAAAAAUCACCAAAUUUGAAACUCAAGUUCCCAUCUGAGUCUAUAGAAACCAUCAGGCCUGACAAAAAGAUUCUUCCUAGAUGACAUGAUCAAGGAAAUUUAUACUUCUCUCAUGGGGAGAGUCUAACAUAACAGACUCAUUUAUAAUAGCUUUACUGAAGAUGAAAGGGCAUACAGUGGUGUUCAAUAAUUGGUACUAUGUAAAAAAAUGUACACACACAUGCAUGAGCUUUGGGAAGACACACGUGUAUCCAUAAGUAUACUAAAAGAUGAGUGUCCAUAUUCAGCGUUGAGGGCAUGGUUAUUUCUUUAUAACUAAUGGUUACAUGUAUUAUUUCAUUUUCAAAUGUGCAAAUGCCUGUAGAAAUGAUGUCUCUGAACAAGUCAUUUAACCUUAGGCAAUGGAGUAUAUUUACUGCCCUACAGUAGAGUUUUCACCUUCAGUCUUACAGUGCUUUUACUGUACAGUCUCCAUUUCUGUUUUUUAGUUAAUAUCUGAUGUCAAAUACAGCAAAAGUGUUUGUUUUUGUCUGACUUGAUAUAAUUGCUGACCAUAGCUUUCUGAAAUAGAUAUCAUCAUAAACCAAAUAGGACUAAGCCCUAGAUUCCAGAGUCUGGUAAUUUAUAAUAAGUUUAAAACACUUCUUUUAAAAUGACAAAUUGAUUAUUAAAACUUAUUUAGAAAAUAGCUCAAGAUAGCAGUAAAAUCCAGUAGUAGGACGUUGAUUAUGGCCAGGUACUAACCUGGCCAAAAUGCUGAUGAUGCCAGGCCUAGUAGUGCAGGCACCUAGGAGGCCGACGGAGGAGGAGAGCAAGCUGGAGUCUAGCCUGGGUAACAUAGCAAGACCCCGGCUCAAAACAAAACAGAACAGGGCCCAGGGCUAUUGUUGUCAGAGUAUGUACCUAGCACAUAUGAGAUCCGGGCAACACAAGAAAUGAUCCUAACUCCAAAACAAUACUUAGUUUUAUAUAUAUCAAGUAUCAUGAUUCAGUGAUUGAGCUUAGCUGUCAAGGCCACAGAAUUAGUUAUAAUUAUUUUAAAUGAGUAAAUUGAAAAUGUAGAGAGUUUGAAACAGUUCUCCAUUAUACAGAAUUACAGAGUUGAGGGUCCUACCUCCAUAGCAACUAAUCUUUACACUAAAUAAGGAAAAGGCAGUUCUGAAGUAUGUGUACAUAAAUAGUUCAUUUUGUAAAAACGUGUGUGUAUGGAUAUCCAUACACACACACACAAAGCUACAUGUAUAAUACGUAGCAUUCUUCCAAAAUUUAUGAAUAAUAAAGCUAGAUAUAUUUGCCCACAUGUUACAGCUAGUAUUCUAAGAUCUUUGAUUACUUUCAGAUUUGUAGAUAUUCUGGCCCUAUAUGAGGUUCUCUUAAGAGGCUUUGGCUCCACCUUGGAGCUGACACUAAUUCCCUUUCUGAAUAUUCUGUUUAUUAGAGAAACUAAGUUCAGAAAAUUGUUACUUACUAUUAGAAUUUAAUUUUCUUUUUAACAAAAAACAGAUUUUUGCAUGGAGGCCUCUUGGGAAAUAUUUCCUUAAAUUUUCCAGUGAAAAAUUUUUGAUAUGAUUUAGACUUAAAGAUUACAGUGCCUGCCCUCCUCUUGUUCCAAGGGAUUUGCUGUGAGAAUUCUUAUAACAUCUGUAAUGUAUUUGGAGUUCUUGGGAGAAAUUUAGUAUUUUAAAUAAUGAGAUUAUUGUAUAUAACUGAAUAUACACAGAUUUUUUAAGAAUACAUUUGAUGAAAAAUUCAGCAUCAUAUUGGUCUUUCUGUAAGUAUAUGUGAUAUACCUGAAGAAGAUGAUAAUUCUCUAAUUGUUUAAGGUAAGGUUAUUUUUAAAUUGUAUUUUUGUUUUAGCUUUUAAAGUUAUAUUCUUUUAAAAAUAUUUAUCAUAUUUCCAUCUUACUACUUUGAAUCCUGGAGUAACUUUUGAAAAACUCAAAGAAUUAACACAUCCUUAGUGGACUAAAAAAUGAGAGACUAGCCGGGUGCAAGUGGCACACACCUUUAUCCGAGCACUUGGGAGGCAGAGGAGGUGGGUCUCUGAGUUCAAGGCCAGCCUGGUCUACAGAUCAGGUUCUGGGGUAGCCGGAACUGUUGCACAGAGAAACUCCGUCUUUGGAGAGAAAAGUGCGAUCAUGAUGCUUUUCUAAGGUAAGCACGGUGGGUUUGUACCACUUGGGCAAACACUACAAGAAUGUCUUAAAAGUCAUCUUGUGUGAUAAGAGUAAAAGUGGUUUCUCUGCUUCUGAUGACCAGCAUCCCACUGCUGGCUGAUUUAAUAACAUUUACUCUCCCUUUACCUUCUGUAUGUUAAGUAGGGCUAAGGUAAGACUUGUCUUCAUCUUAAACUCUGAGGAGGAACUGAUUGUGCUUCGAUGAUAAGGCUUUGAGACUACUUAUUAAAUGUGUUCUCUUACCC
rnacentral:lncRNA from 1 species